CAGCAGCCACGGUAAUACGUAGGUGGCAAGCGUUAUCCGGAAUUAUUGGGCGUAAAGCGCGCGUAGGCGGUUUUUUAAGUCUGAUGUGAAAGCCCACGGCUCAACCGUGGAGGGUCAUUGGAAACUGGAAAACUUGAGUGCAGAAGAGGAAAGUGGAAUUCCAUGUGUAGCGGUGAAAUGCGCAGAGAUAUGGAGGAACACCAGUGGCGAAGGCGACUUUCUGGUCUGUAACUGACGCUGAUGUGCGAAAGCGUGGGGGUCAAACAGGAUUAGAUACCCCAGUAGUCCCUGUCUCUUAUAC
rnacentral:rRNA from 1 species